ensembl:lncRNA
CUCCAGGUUGCUUAGGGAAGCCUCAGAGCUCAGGUGGCUGAGAAUGACAGUACACAUCAGGCGAUGGAGAUGUUUCUCUUUCUUCUGAUAAGCACUUAAAUGCUUACCAGGUUCCACUACCUGGGCAACAAAUGUCAUCCUUGCCUUUGGCUGUGGAUUGGUGCAUUUGAUCCUAUCAAUCCCUUGUUUUCAGCCUAAUCCAACUUCCCCAAAACAUGGGGAAAAGAAGAGGAGAAUAUCAGAAAGCUUUCAAAUUUGCAACUGCAAGACUGAUACACAUUUUGCAAGGAUCUGUCUGAUGUGUACAACAAACAUUGGAAUUAAGGCUUCUACAAUACUGGUAUGUGGUCAAGUCUAUGGCUGUGCAAUGCUGGACUUCCGCAAAGCAUCUCCAGCUUCCACUGUUACCCAACUUGUAAACCAGAAGAUGUGCUGAUGUAGGUGGAUAGCAGCUCCAAGACAAGUCUGAGAGCACUGAACACAUUAAGAAGUGAUUGCUGAGCCCGUUAGGGACAGGCACGUCUGCGGACACUGUAGCAGGGUCCCCGGCCGCGGAGAACACGCCGAUCCAGCCCGUUUUGGACAGGGUCUCCGUUGACUUACCCGCGGGCCGGGACAAGUGGCGCCCCACGUGGGGCCCGAGAACGGGGGAUCCAGUGAAGAACGCUGCUCGGGGGCCCAAUAAAAUAGAAGUGACAAAUAAAAUAGAAAAAAGAGGAUUGUGUUUGACGUGAACCUGCCAUCUUUCCUGCACCUCGGUUAAAAAAGAUGACAUCCCUGAUUCUGUUACAUGGCCUGUUGCUGUUCCUGGCACCGACAGCAGAAAGCGGAUUUCAACCAGUUAACAAGGAACAACUGCUCAUUGCCCUGUAUGGUAACCCCUGUGACUGUGCCGGGGGUUCUGGCGGGCCCGUACCCACAAGUUACACCCGUAGUACUGAUUGCGGCAGCAAGACUGCCCACUUGGUUUAUGAGGCCUCGAUAAUGGGAGGAUAUAACCAAAAAUGGGAUUGUGUCACUAAGCCUAAAGUCAUACUAACAAUCAAUGGCAAACCAGGGCCAUGCCCUACCGGCUGUGCCAUGGCCACAGAGAUGCAUUCUACCUGUUACACUGAAGUCCAACAAUGUGCACAUUCCGAUGGAAAAAUAUAUCUAACUGCUGUUCUACAAAGAACUUACAGGGGCUCCGUCAGGGGUGACUGGGACUUUUCCAGUCCCACUGGAUAUCCUAAAUUUGGCCAAGCCUCCUGCAGCGGCAGUCCCGGCAAAGAUGUCUGCUGGCCGCCACAGGCCCCAAUUCAUAUAUCUGAUGGUGGCGGGCCUUCAGAUCAGCUCAGGGAAGAGUGAGUACAAAAACAGUGCCCAUACAGGCCCACUAUCAUAGAUUGGCAAUGGCUGACCAGGACGAAUGCCAGACCGUCGAUUAGGUCCUUGCCGUGGCGAAGUGUUCUCGCCCCACCUGGUGAGUGGGCUGGCAAGCCAAUGACGGGCAACUGAACAAGCGUGCCAUGCAAUGAGAGAGCCCUCGUGCGCAGCCUAAGACAGGUGCCAGAGCCUUGAUUCUCUGGUUAACCCAUGACGGGUAAGGUGCACAGUGCAGACACGUAUGUCGCUCUGACCCAAGACAGGCUCGGCCCCCACAGGCUUGGCUCUCCUGACGCCUUUCUACUAUAGUUAUAAUUUUAAAGGGAGGACCUGUGGGGGGCCUUGCCCCCCCCUGCUAGAACUCUUGAGUGCCUUUUACGGGCAUGUCUGGGCCUGCUGCAAGUCUAUCUGGCAACAAGGAAAUAGCCCCAGUACCCUCCCCUUGCUCCUCCCCUCUAGCCCUACAGUAUAUAUGCUGUAGCAGCUUCCGCAAUAAACGAG